AUCGCUUCUUGGCCUUUUGGUCAAGAUCAAGUAUAGUAUGUGUUAUUACCAGUUUAAUAUCUGAUAUGUCUUCUGAGGACAAAUCUUUUUGUUUUUUUAUUACACUUUCAGUUCUAGGGUACAUGUGCACAAUGUGCAGGUUUGUUACAUAUGUAAACAUGUGCCAUUUUGGUGUGCUGCACCCAUUAA
rfam:Chlorocebus sabaeus isolate 1994-021 chromosome 7, whole genome shotgun sequence.